UAACAUAUAUUGAAAUAUGUAUGAUUCGAAGGAAAGCGGUUUGUUUUUGCGUAUAAAGGAAAACUCCAAGAAUAUUGAACUGCCAGUUGUUCUCGACGUUAAUAUGAAUGUAAAAGUUUAUCAUCGCAACGAGGAAUUAACCUGGAUGCAGUGGGAUCAGCCAACUUCUGAAACCUAUGUAUCAAGAAUGCUUGAAAUUUUAAACAAAAGCAUAAUUUCUUUUUCGAAGUAUAAAAUUUAAAAAACUAUUCUAAAAAUUAAUUGUUUUAUAAGAUUCGUUUGCUGAAAUAAAUGUAACUGUAAUAAGCCCUCAA